rnacentral:rRNA from 1 species
AGUCACUGACAUUAGAUACCCCUGUAGUCCAGGGUGUAAACGCUGCAGACUUGGUGUUGGGAACCCUUCGGGGGUGCUCAGUGCCGGAGAGAAGUUGUUAAGUCUGCUACUUGGGAGUACGUCCGCAAGGAUGAAACUUAAAGGAAUUGGCGGGGGAGCACCGCAACGGGAGGAGCGUGCGGUUUAAUUGGAUUCAACGACCGAAAAACUCACCAGCAGCGACUGUUACAUGAAAGUCAGGUUGAUGACCUUACUAGAUUUUCAG